UGAUAUGUUUGAUAUUGGGUUGU
rnacentral:piRNA from 1 species